rnacentral:antisense_RNA from 20 species
AUUUAUGGCGGGCUGUGUGGGGGAGCCGAAAGGCUCGCCGGAUGUUUCGACCGGUAGUGCUAACCCCGCACAGUUCGCCACCACG